AUUGAACGCUGGCGGCAUGCCUUACACAUGCAAGUCGAACGGUAACAGGUCUUCGGAUGCUGACGAGUGGCGAACGGGUGAGUAAUACAUCGGAACGUGCCUAGUAGUGGGGGAUAACUACUCGAAAGAGUGGCUAAUACCACAUGAGAUCUACGGAUGAAAGCAGGGGAUCGCAAGACCUUGUGCUGCUCGAGCGGCCGAUGGCAGAUUAGGUAGUUGGUGGGAUAAAAGCUUACCAAGCCGACGAUCUGUAGCUGGUCUGAGAGGACGAUCAGCCACACUGGGACUGAGACACGGCCCAGACUCCUACGGGAGGCAGCAGUGGGGAAUUUUGGACAAUGGGCGAAAGCCUGAUCCAGCAAUACCGCGUGCAGGAUGAAGGCCUUCGGGUUGUAAACUGCUUUUGUACGGAACGAAAAGCCCCGGGUUAAUACCCUGGGGUCAUGACGGUACCGUAAGAAUAAGCACCGGCUAACUACGUGCCAGCCGCCGCCGUAA
rnacentral:rRNA from 1 species